UGAAAUGCGAUAAGUAAUGUGAAUUGCAGAUUUUCAGUGAAUCAUCGAAUCUUUGAACGCACCUUGCGCUCCUUGGUAUUCCGAGGAGCAUACCUGUUUGAGUGUCAUUAAAUCAUCAACCCCACCGAUUGGGGGGGCUUGGACUUGGAGCGUGCUGGCGAAGGUCGGCUCCUCUUUAAAUGCAUCAGCGGAAGAAUGCACCUUUUCUCCCUUCGGCGUGAUAAUCCUGUUGCGCCGUGUGCGGGGUGGAAGGUGUUUCACUUAUAAUCGUCCUCGGACAAACGUUACACUUUUGACCUCAAAUCAGGUAGGACUACCCGCUGAACUUAA
rnacentral:misc_RNA from 1 species